GAUGAACGCUGGCGGCGUGCCUAAUACAUGCAAGUCGAGCGAACAGACGAGGAGCUUGCUCCUCUGACGUUAGCGGCGGACGGGUGAGUAACACGUGGAUAACCUACCUAUAAGACUGGGAUAACUUCGGGAAACCGGAGCUAAUACCGGAUAAUAUAUUGAACCGCAUGGUUCAAUAGUGAAAGACGGUUUUGCUGUCACUUAUAGAUGGAUCCGCGCCGCAUUAGCUAGUUGGUAAGGUAACGGCCUACCAAGGCAACGAUGCGUAGCCGACCUGAGAGGGUGAUCGGCCCCACUGGGACUGAGACCCGGCCCAGACUCCUACGGGAGGCAGCCGGAGGGAAUCUUCCACAAUGGGCGAAAGUCUGACGGAGCAACGCCGGGUGGAGGAAGAAGGGCCUCGGGUCCUAAAGUCCUUUUGUUAGGGAAGAAAAAAUGGGGAAGGAAAUGGCGGCCUCUUGACGGUACCUUACGAGAAAGCCACGGCUAACUUCGUG
rnacentral:rRNA from 1 species